GGGAAGUAGACCUGUUCAGCAAUUGUUCUUUGAUGGUGGGCUCGAUUUUCUUUGGCAGCAGUUCAGUCCUGUGGUAAACACCAAAUACGAUUCAUCAGCUCCAGACCAGUCCUCUAGGCAGGCAGACACCAGGGACGAACCAGCAGCUACAGUCCAGUUCUUUCAGCAAGCAGACACCGGGCAUGAACCAGCAGAUGUAGUUCAAUCCUGAAGAAACCACUAGACUCAUCAGAUGUCCCAAAGCAAGGCCCCAGAAGUCACAUGCUGCUGCAGGAACCACGCAAGAAGUUUUUGGGUGAAAAUGGAGAUUAGCCACUGUCGUGAAAGGAUAAACCGCAAAAGGACUCUAUCUGUCCUAUGCGUGUGCACUUGGCUCGAGUGCAGGCCCAUUGAAGAAUUUGGCUAUGCACACUGAGCCCUGCACUGGCCUCUGCAUCCCUCCAAGCCUCCCAACAGCGAUUUUACUUUUCUUUUAAGUGUGUGUGUGUGUGUGUGUGUGUGUGUGUGUGUGUGUGUGAGAGAGAGAGAGAGAGAGAGAGAGAGAG
rnacentral:lncRNA from 1 species